ensembl:lncRNA
CCAGCCUCUGCAAGGCUUAUUAUAAGUACAGUGAACAAUCACACUCCCACACGUAGGCACACACACACAUACAGAGACAUACGCACACACACACACACACGCAUGCACGCGUACAGACACCCACACCCUCACAGACCACCUCCAGACAGAGAGCCAGCCGAGGGGUUAGGUUGAAGUAUGCUAAGGUGCUGGGCGACACCGCCCUCAGAGGUGCACACACACACACACACACACACACACACACACACACACACACACACACACACACACACACACACACACACACACACACAUACACACGCACACGCACACGCACACACACACACACACAACGUAUCAGGAUUAUUUUGGUCAUUAACAUUUGCGUAUAUUUCGGCAGCAUUAUUAUAAGCGAAUUAACGGAAGAGCUGAAGCAGUGAAAUAGUAAAAAAAAGGCAUUGUUUUGAAGUGUGACCUUUGUUUAUGUGUUUGUAUUAUUAUAGAGCGGUAAAGUGAUUCCAUAACCGAGCAAUCCCUGGCCGUCCCCAAGAUAAGCGGGCAGCAGAAGCUCGAACUGAAUUCAAGGAGAAGCAAACAGCAAAACCAGUGGAAUACCAAAUGCAGAGUUCUAACGGUCAGAACAUACCAACGCAAUUAUAACAGUGCCCUGGACCUGCUACGUUAUCUGACAACCUCCCUGCUUUUACACAUUUCUGACCUUGGAGAUGUAAUAAUUCAUCAAAUCAAUCGUAUCUUUAGAACUGACAUAUUUUGAAAAGAGAUUUCUGAUUAUAAACCAGGGAGAAACGUUGCGACGGGCCUUCUAUCAAACAGAGGCUUGCCAGGAUACCUGUGGAGAGCUGGGGACAGGUCAAGGCGGCGUUCACCAACAAUAACUUCACUUCAUCAAGCUCUCCUUCAGCCUUCAUCAGGAGGAUCACUUUAAUGUUGCCUGGAAAUCCUUUCAAGAUGCACUUAGUUUGCAGCACUCUCACAGUCUAUUUUGCAUUAUUCCUCUGUCAAAGCAGCAGACAAAAAUAUGGCCUUUAAGGGACAAUGAAAAGUUCUGAAAUAUGUUUUUUUUAUGAUAGGCUUUUUUUUCUUCCUCUUUUAUGAAAAUAAAAGGCGGCCUUACAGCUGAGAGGAGAUGAGCAGUUCCGUCUGAGAGUUAAAAGGAGUUUGGCAGAGAGAUACCAGCUGGCACCUCGACGUUUUAAACCUGACCGAUAAGCUAAUUGAUAAUUAAAACACUGACGCCAAACAGCUAAAGAGAUGAGAACGUUAGCGGUGGAGGGACGCUUCGCCAAAGCAAACUCGGUCAGAGGUGAUUAACAUUCUGACCAGCAGUCAAGCGGACAGCUGACAUGGUGCAAUCCUAACAUUGUGAUCAAGUGCAAUCUCCAUUCAGCUCAACACCUGGCUCCUACAACAACAGCUCUGAUUAAAAAGUGGAGUGGAGUCAACUUGAUUUAAUUAAAAUGUUGCAGAAGGGCGGUCAUUUUGGUUUGAAAAAAAACAAAAACGAACAAACAAAAAACAUCAGAGAAUGAUAUUCUCCCACUAUCCACCAUGGUGUUGUGAGUGAAUAUUAUGACAACAACUUGUACGUACAAUUUAUUUUAUACUUUUAUAUUUAAUUUAUACUCACAACAACAGUAAACUGUAUAUUCAGAAUAUAAUACAGUACGCCCUAACAAAUUAAUUCAAACUACAGAUAACAUAAUAUGAAUGAAAUGUAUAUAUCGCUCUCAGAACCAAUCACAGUAUUGUAAAGCAGAAUUUAUUUUAUUUGUAAGUAUAGUUAAGAAUAGAAACGGCAUGCAUCCUAUAAUGUACUUUUCGAUGAAUAGUAAAUCAUACAGCUCCUAUUAGGCCUAUAUGGGCUUAACUGUGUAUCAAAUGGAGGGCAUACAUUUAUUAUGUGCAUGGCUUUUGUAUAGCACCAUUAAUUGUCAUGAAUAAUAAAGACAUGUUGAUCUAUUUUCUAUAUUAAACACACAUAUCUCAAAGCUUUCAGCACAAAUACAUUAUUUUUAUCCCAGAUUAUACAAAAAAGUAACUUUUCAAACAUUCAAUAAAAUGAGGGUUAUUGACUGCCGACGUUAAGGUGAAGCAUGUAGGAUCUCAUACAUGAAUAAAUGCCAUCUAAUUAGCAGCGAUUAAAGAGCUAAGUAGGACAGAAUGUAAAAACAACCCCCUCAAGACUUAUUUCUUUGAUCAGAGAAAAA